UUCUUAUUGGAUAAUGAUUGUCACGUGUCAUAUUCUGAUUGGAUGUCAACUCCAUGAAAGAUUAAAUGAAUUAUUGUUUUCAUUGACCAAUUAGAACAUGACACAUGACAGUCAUCAUCU
rfam:Glycine soja cultivar W05 scaffold254_42, whole genome shotgun sequence.